rnacentral:lncRNA from 1 species
GGUUUCCUAAACUUUGGGAAUAGGAUGCUUGAAAAAUCAAGGUAUUCCUUCAACAUAGAGGAGACAUUUUCGAAAACAAAAAGCCAUAAUGUUUAUUUGGUCACCCAAGUUUCUAAGAGAUUUCUAACUAACUACGAAGUACUUGUCUUCUUGCCACGAAAAUGAAAGUAUUAUUUGUCUCUUAAACACUUGAAAACCCCGCUCUUUACCUCCUUAAUUAUUCUAAAAUAUACAUUCUUUUUGGUUUAUUCAUAGUGCAAAUAAAGAAAGAUAAGUAUUAUAUAAUAUGAUAUGAUACUAAUUUGGAGUUUUGUUCCUAAAGUUGAUCACUUAAUCUAAUUGCAGUGAUUGGGUUCCACUAAUUUAAUUAAUAUGAUUAAGUAAUACCAAAUGGAAGCAUUUGAUGCGGCUAUUAUUAUUACUUUAAAAUUAUAAUAUGGUUAAAAAGUUUAUCCCCAUGGUCCCUGCGUAAUUAUGAAAUCUAUCAUCGAUGGUCUUAAUCUCCUCUUUCUGCAGAAUAUAUAAUUAGUAUUUUUGCUGCUA